CCCCCCCCCCCAAUUGCCAAUGACCGGGCGGGCCGGGGGACGGCGGGUGAGUGUGCGGGGCUGGGGGCGGAGGAGGGGGGGGUUGGCCGCGGCUCGCCUCCGCGCCGCCCCCGCCCCGCCGCAAUGUCAGCGGGUGGAGAGGGGGCCCCGCGUUACCUGGUCAGCGCGGAGCCGCAGGCCGGCUAGUCAGGUGAGUCGUCGGGGAUUUUAAAGAAGCCGAAGCCGGUUUCUUUGCUAGGAAAGUCUACAACACCAUGCAGGGACAUUGCAAAAUCUUUACGCACGCCUCCUUUCCCCGGGCUCCCCCGACCUCCGCCGGAGAGGGGGGAGCCGCCGGCGGGCGCAGGCCGACGGCCCCGGCCCCGGCGGCGGCCCCGGGCCUCCCUGCCGCCUUGGUAGCGCCGGUCCGCACUCGGCCUGACCCGGGACGUCACGCCGCCUGUCUGUUUUCUCAAUGAUAACUUGGCAGCGGCAGGGGGAAGCGGCCGGGUUAUGUAUUUUAUUUUAUUUUUUCUCCCCUGGGCUCGGUACCGGAUACGUGCGCGUUUCUCUGCAUGCGUUUUUAAGCGAAACGAAGGGGGGAAAAAAAGCCGAAACAGGAAAUCCGGCGCGCGGCGGGGGCUGCCGGCCGCGAUGGUGGCGGGCGCGGGGGAGCAGGCAUGCGUUCAUCUUUUUGUCUUUCAUUUUACCUUCAGGUUGACGCUGGGCGCCGGGCGAGCCGCGUUGGUCACCGCCGGGUCCCACCUGGAGGAGGGAAGCACACGCAAAAGGGGGGAAAAAAAAAAAAAAAAAAAAAGGAAAAAAAAUCACGGAAACGGGCGGGGGGGGGGAAGGGGGGUGCCACCCGGAUGCGGCGGAUGGGACAGCACAGCGCGCGCAGAGCAGGGCCCCGCCAUGUCCCUGCACGGAACGGGACUGAGGGAAAAGGCACCCCGUGUCGUGAGGGAGCGCAGGGGACGUGGGGAACGCAGGCCCAUGAGGGCUGCUCAUGGGCCACGACGCUGUUGUGUGGAGGCUGGCAGAUGCUGAGCCGGGCUGGGUGGUGGGUGACCAGCAUGUGGUAACGAGGCCUGCCGCCACCAGGUCAACCUGUGUGACUGGGGGUUGUUGUGAGCAGGGGUAGGGGGUGGCACUAGGCUUGGUUUGCUUUCCUUGGUGUUUGUGCUCCUAAAAGGAAGGAAGACCAUAGAAUCGCUGAGAUUGGAAAAGACCACUAAGAUCAUCUAGACCAACCAUCAACCCAUCACCACCAUGCCCGCUAAUCCAUGUCCCUCAGUCUUUGUGCCAAGUGGAAAGAUCUUCAAACAUUAUUGUCUCAUUCUGUGCCACACACCUCCCUGCAAAGAGAGGUAACUCUGACCUGAAUUAAGACUCCUAAGCUUUAAACUCAAAAAAAGGGGGGAAGAAAAACAAACAAACAAACAAACAAAAAGAUGUAAGCUCAGAUAGUAAAACAAAUAAAUUUUGAAGGGAAACAUAAAUAUAAAAGCUAGAUGGUACAAACUGCUGAACCUUUAAACACUGACAUGGUAACAGCCAAUGAAAGCUAUGAAGAUAUAAAGAAAAAAACCCUACUUUUUGUGAAAGGCAGAGGUACCGAAGGAUCUUCCUGCGUGCAGAUGAAGUCACCUUGCUAUCCAUGUAUCAGUGCUGCAAACACAGUUCUCAUUCUUGAGCUACGGUUGUGAUUAUGAGCAUGGCUUUACUCUGCUGUGCUCAUUCUUGGCUGAAGGAUACAGGGAAUGGAUUUCACGUAUGUCUCCUUCAUGCUAAGCCUGCUUAUUUAAGUACAAAGCUUUCUGAUAAAAAAGUGAGCAUUGGAUGAAGAAGAUAAAAACACAGAUAAACGUGAUAAAAAAAACAAGCUCUUGAAUCCUGUUGUGGUGUAAUGUUGGCCAUGGGCCUAGUCUUGAUAGUAAGGCUGAAAGAAGACUGAAAUCGGAGGCAAGGAGGGCUUGGGGACCAUGCAGGAGCAUGUCUAAAAUCAUUAUCAUGUCAACAGCUGGAUUAGACUGCUUUACACUGCUGCCACUAGGAGCUCUCCAAAAGCAGGAGCCACCUGCAGUGAGAGGGUGUCCAGGAUCUGCCCUGCUCCUGCUGGGACAGGGGACUGUUGAUCCAGCAAAGAACAGGUCUGUGAAAUGGAGAGGUCUUGGGGACAACAACACAACAGAAACAAGAGGAAACCUCAGCACAUGGCUAGCGCAGAGAAAUGAAGGAUCCUCUCUGGGAAUUGGUUAGUAGCGCUGAUGUUUAAUAUUUGUCAUAACAACCACUGACUGUUUUGUUUUUUGUUCUAACAAUGUGAAUUAUGCAUUAAACAUUAAUACAAGCGAGUGUACUUUUCUUUUGAUCUUCAAGCAUAAUCAUUUCUAAUGAGAGUUUAUACACAAGCAUUGAAACAAAUCCCUGAGUCAUGUGAAUUUACAUUGGUUUUACUCUGUGUGAAAGAUAUCCCACAUGGGUUACUCAUGUCUGUUAAACAACAUACUUACAAAUCAGAAAGAAAAAAAAAAAGAACUUGCAUUUGGCUUAACGUAAGUAUCAGUGUAGACGUUUGGUUCACACACUAGCAAUAGCGCAAUAUUGAAGAGUGAAUUUACUAGAGAUCAGAAUCAGAGUGAGGUCCCCACCUAAUUAACGUCAGAUCCAAGUCCUCACAGAAAAAAAAGCUCACUUGACUUCUGCAGCCUUGCUUCUAACAAGACUUGGGCCAAGUAUUGGAGGAAGUUGAACUAAUUGUAUAAAGAAGGUGGCAAAGAAGUCAGGAGUUGGCUCACUUGAUGCAGAUAAAAGCUGCCCAGGAGCCAUCUGCAAGUACCAGUACUACAUAUAUGUAGCAGACUAAUUCUACAGUGCUCAGUGGCACCUUCCUUGAUGCCCUUGACAGACAAGCUGCAGUGCAGGGAUGACUCCAUCUGAACCAAGGCCAGAACCAUGUCUCAUUUCUGCUCUUUUAAACAGUGACAAACUGCAUUUUGUGAAAGCACAAACACUGUGUAACUGCUAGCUCAGUUAUUUGAAGUAGAAAUGGAGUUUGAGCCCUUCCACAUGCAGUAUGUGCAAAGUACAUACAAGAUACUAAGUGCAGGGUGGAACAGUCUGCAAUGAACCUGAUCCCUCUGUAUAUGAGGGCUCACUACAAGAUUUCUCAAAUGCCUCUCCAGAACAGAUCUUGAAGGCAUAGGCUGCAGAGGAAGAAUGGCUGCCAAGAGGGUAUUAUGUUUAAUGGCAGAUAGGAUCUAUCUAUGAUCCAGAACAUUCCUCAGGAAUUCUCAAAAGCCCAUUAACGUAUUUUAUUCUUAACAUAUGAGUGCUACAGAAGGACUGGAAGCCAGAGACCCAUGAUUACCCCAUGUAAUACAGUGUUCUUGCAGGAGGCUGCAGUUGUGCUUCCUGCUGCUCCUCUGCUUUGAUCUGAAUAAGAUUAAAAGCUAAUGGUGGAGUUUUGAAAGGAAGGGCAGAAGAUAUCUAUGUGAGGAAUAGUCUUCCUUGAGAUUAUAGGGCUUCAUAUAGGAUUAUAUGGGAGGCACUUGGUACAUUUAGUUGGAAGAUGAAUAAGUCAAUGCUGGAUCUUUAAUAAUCUUCACCUGAAGGACCCCAGCUCCAUCUACACCCUGCUAGCAGCCCAUUUUCAGAACCUAGCCUUAAAAGUUCAGCAAGUUUUCUGGCUCUUCAGAAUGCCCAAGUACCUCCCCAGGCACGCACAAAAAGCCUCGCUUUCAGUGAUGUGGGUAGAAAAUGGUAUACGCAAUGCAUAGGGAGGCCUUUCUCAGCGUGGUUCAGCAUUACAAAGCCUGUCAGACCACAGGCUCCCGGGAUGCCCUCACAGCCCUGGAAUGCUAGCUGGAAGUGUUCCCCUGUAAUUUAGCUCAUUUGGAACAUUAAAGAUGCUCAUUUCUAGGGACAUAAGUGAAAUGCGCUGAUACUGAGCCCAUCCUUUGUUUUACACCUGCAGGCCUCUAGUAGCCAGCAUAGAGGCUAGUGGGAAGGAGAGGACAUCAGUUUUAAUUUAGUUGUUUAUGACAGAAAAUGGUGAGAAAAGUGGGAAAAGAUCAUAUUCUACAGACUAAUGCACUUAUUUACACUUAACUGCCUAACCCCAGUCAGAACCUUAAAUUCUA
rnacentral:lncRNA from 1 species